rnacentral:lncRNA from 1 species
GCCACCCCGAGCUCCGCAGAUGGGAGGCAGGCUCGUGCAGGAAGGGGCAUUGCAGCAAACACCAGCACAGCGCCCUACCUCCGCACUGACCGGAAGACACAGCCUGCAGAGCCCAGUUUCCGAGAUAGUAAACGGUAGAAAAGUGUACAUCCUGGAAUUGAUGAGACAUAGAACUACGACACCCAGUAUACAGGUUCCUUUCCUCCUCUCAAGCCGGCUGCCCCCUCAGGCUGGAACAUGGCCUUGCCUCUCGUUCCUCCCCUCACAUCCUCAAAACCAGGAGUGGCCACCUCUUCCUCCGCUCCCUGGUGGCAUCCUCCCCAGUGGCUGGGGCUGUGAAGUCUUUGAAGAGAAUUUGGAGGCGGUUGGUGCUGGGAGGCCGGCGACAGUCUGAGCCACACAGACCGUGACUGUCAUAUCAUUUGCUAACGGCUGCAGUGUUGAGACCUCAAUCGCACUGUGAACUCCUCUCGGGGGUUCUCUGCCAUGUUCCUUCUGCUGUCCCCCAAUAAGCAGGCCCUCAGCAAAUGUUUGCUCACCGGUUGAUGAACUGUCAAAACCAACACGCCUGGCCAGGACCGCUGAUCACUAAAAAGAGACCUAACUGCACAGCUUAGAGUGGAUCUAGAAUCCUCAGAUCUUCCAGGCUCUUUGGAAAUCCAAAUCAAUCAGGGGAAAUCCAGACCUCCUCCUGCAGCAAACACAAAGGACCUCUCCCCGCCCGGUGCUCCCACCCCUCCCAGGGCCCGGAAAGGCAGCUUCAGUAGAGAGGUCUCUGUGGGCCCUACCAAGGAUCCCUUUUCAUCUCCCUCCCACCCCAGAUCCCGACCUUAAGGGCUGGGAUAAAAAUGGCCAGGGAUGGGGGUGGCAGCAGGCACACUCCCUUUAGCAGAGAUGAUAUCAAAGCGGAUCGCAAAAGACAGUCGAGGGUUAUAAUUUGUCAUUGAACGUGUCCGUGCGAGGGGUGAUAAUCUCUGUGGCUUUCAGCUUUGUAAUCGCUCCUUUCCCACCCCAGCAUCCCAGGGUGGCCCAGCAGUGCCGCCCUGGCUCACAGCCAGCCUCUCCUCCCCACCUUCCCCAGCUGUCUCUCCUGAGAGCUUGUCUGCAGAUUCAACAGCGGGGCGGGUUACACUCACUCCGCAGUCUGUGAGCAUUUAUUGAUUAAUCUGUCAGUCGAUAAGUACUUAGUGAGCAUCUGUUGUGUGUAUCAGUCAUUGUGCUGGGGGCUAAGAGGACCCCUGAGAAGUGUAAAAUUGGACCCACUCUCCAGGAGCUAUGUCUACACAGGGAGAUCCCUGAAGACACAUGAUACUGGACUGGCGGGUCUUAAAGGUUCUUCGGGGCACUAAUAUUAUGUGGUUAUAGACUAAGUGAUUAGGUUUGGGCCGGGCUCUGAUGGAUGGUGGGGUCUGGCUACCUGUUAGAAGGUGGGCGGGUGAGGGGGGGUGUUGUAUCUCGAGGACCGGAAUCAGGAGAGUACAAGGUGUGUUCCAGGGUCAGGGCGUCAAUGUGCUCGGAUAGAGGAUUUUGAUGAAGCUAUGAGAGAAGGGUUACCACGGUACUGGUUAGAGCUCAUGAGGACAUGCAGAAUGUAGCUCAGGCAGAAGAGAGACAGGGAGAAUUGAGCAGGUGAAGAGCCAAAGUUGGAUCGUUUUUGUAAUAGCCUCCAUACCCCACUUGCCGUCCGCCGCCUCUCUGACGGACACUGCUGGCCUUGCGCUCGGGGGCCACCCCCACUUCUUUCUUUUCAACAGAACUCCUGGGAUCCCAGACUUCAAGUGCUAAAACUAGAACCACCCUGGGGAAACUGGGACGGUGGGUGACCCUGUCAGGGACUCUUGAAGCUGUUGGGGAAAGCCCCCCAAAAUGAGAUCCCUGGCCCUUCCCAAUGCACAGUCUCUAAGCUCCACUGGAGCUUCCCCCUGUUUGACAGUCCUGAUACCCAGCUUGGCUAGCCUGACACCAUUUGCCCCUUCCCCUGGAAGCUCUGGUUUCCAGUCUUCUCCAUGGCUCCCCGACUGCUUACCCAGCUCCCACCGCACGCCCUUUGCAGCUGACUUCCAAUUUCACAGAGGAGAGAGAGAUUACUGGCUGUAAAACCCCUCACCCUCCUGCAUUCUCACUCAGAAUGCAUGUCCUUUCCUGCUGGAGGAACCCUUUCUCCAUCUCAGUGCAUUCGUCAGAAAUCCAGAGGCCACCCCCACUCUGCAUGCACCUGUAGCGAUCACCCUCCCUCCCUCCUUCUGCGGUCUGUUUCUCUCUGUCCCUUCAACCUGGCCUCUGCCCCUCCCCUGCUCUUACCAUCAAAGGACCCAUCACUGGGCUCAUCUCAAGCCAUAGCUGGCUGCUCCUUGUGCUCCUGUUGACACCCCCUCCUGGAAGCCUGCCCUCCUCCCUUGAGCUCACCCACCCCCACCUCUCCGGCUGUUCCUGUUCAGUCUGUUCAGAGCUUCUCUUCCUUUGCACUGUAAAUACCGAUAUUUCCUUCUCUCCUCAACUGUAUUCACUUCUUCUGGAUGAUUCCAUCUAUAACUGUGGUUUCGGUGAUUAUCAAAUCCUGACAACUCUGUAGCUCAGGCCAAGACAUUUUUUUCUAUGCCCUGACCUGUACGUGCUGUGAAGUCAUCAGCGUGAUUGUCAAGGUCCAUGAUUUUGGAGUCAGGUUUGAGUCCUGGCUCUACCACUUAUUCGCUGUGUGACUUUGGUCAGGUACGUAAGCUCUCUGUGCUUCAGUUCUCUCAGCUGUAAACCAUCGUAAUAUACUUACCUCAUGGGGCUGUUGAGAAGAUUAAAUGAGAUGAUGGAGAAUGUUUAAUACAACGUCUGGCUCAUGGUAACAAUCAAUGCAGUUAUUUUUAUAGCGUUCAGUUGUCUAUUAUUCUUUUUUUUUUUUGAGCUUGUAUUUCCUGAACUACUUGACACUAAGCAAUUGAAAUCAUUUAAUCAUUAAAAACAAAAAUUUGAAACCUCAUGCAGUGAGUGUUGUAUUCUCUCUACAGGUGAAGAAACCAAGCUGAAGAGACAAAGUAUCUCGUGUCAGGUCAGCUUGGCAGAGACCCGACUUGGGCUCUGAGCAGAUUAAUGCCAAAGUCCUUCUUCUCAGCCCCUGCAGCGAACCCAUCUCUCACCGUACUCGAAUCAGCAUUCGUCCUCUUUUCUGUGUCCCACGCUUGCCCUUCUGCAUAGAGUCCUGUUUUGCCGGAAGGAUGCAGCAUUUACUUUGUCAGCAAAAAUCAACUCUUCCUCGGGGCAGAAGGGUGUGGACCGGGACGUGGUGCUAGUCUGCUCUCUCCUUACGGCCGCCGCCCCAUCCAGCCCUUCAGGAGGCCCGACCCUCUUCUCUCCACGACUGCCCUUGCCCUCCUGCAGCCCCUCCAGAUCUUUCAAUGGGGUAUUUCCUAAAGCCCCCUGCUGGAGUCAGCACCUACUAGGGCAUCAAUAAAUGACUGUUAAGGAUCCCUGGCUCA